GCUCCGGUAGCUCAGUGGUAGAGCACUUCCUUGGUAAGGAAGAGGUCAACAGUUCAAUCCUGUUUCGGGGCU
rnacentral:tRNA from 1 species